rnacentral:lncRNA from 1 species
CCCAUCCACGAGCCUUGUAUUUAAAACCAAAAUAUUUUGUUUUUUCCCAACUAUUUCCAUCUACCUCCUUUAGAAUCCCUAAUUUCAAUUUAUUCGGAUCCUCUUAUUUAAUCGGAUCCUUCAUUUAACUUAACAGAUAUCAUAUUACUUUCCUUUUUAGUUUUUUUUUAUUUCUAGGUUGAUAAACAGACUCGUUUAGCCAGACGCCUUAGUGCUUCAAGCCCCCUCGUAGGAAUGACUGCUGCCAUUCCCCAAACUCGACUUGUGUGGUGCACAAGCUCGACCAGACUCGAAUUACUCCGAAAAAUGAUUCGACCAGACUGCCCCAUCGGGCCAAUUAGCCCAGACUCAAACUUAAAUUCCCCCAUGGUUCACCCGACCCAUAUCCCCGAAGGGUCACAUUAUCAAACUUAGCCUCUCAGCUCAAAUUCGGGUUCCCCAUGGGUUCACUCGACCAAACUCCCCCCCCGUCAGGGCACAAUCCACCAGAUUUUUACUUUUACAGUUCCAUUCAUUAAUUUUUGUCCUCUGUAUGGUUCGCCUCAUUCAUAUCGAGGUCUGAACUCCCAAUCAUAGAUUCAGGUCGACCAAUAUCUUCCUAGUCCAUUUAUUCCCAACGUAUUAGCUAAGUGAGUGCGAACCCAGAACGAACCUUAAGGUGAAUCAAGGGUCCCCCCUGGAGAAAUCAUUAAUUCAACCAAAGUCUCAUCCUCACCUACUCUCUUAACUUAGGGUGGAAUUAG